AAGUAGAGUCAGUAAUCAGCAGUGACAACAGAUGAGGCCCUGCACUAUGGUUGCCAAGAAGAAAACAAAACAGCACAAUACAGCAUUUCCUGUCAAGAUGGAGGCAUAUGUAGACACACUUUGCCUCCUCGCACAACCAUAGAAAGAAUUACAACCAGAUCUCAAAAACAAAAAAACACCCAGAACCAUCAGAAAAUUGAGCUGUAUAGAAGUCUGACAACCAAGGAUUUACAGAAGCCACAUUCAUCCAGACAGUUAUGGAACACUCAAGUGGCAUUUUGGCUGGAACCAACAGUGACGGAUGUGACGACUAUGGAACUUUGCUGUCCUCCCUUCCAGGGAACAACAGGUCUGUGUGAGAAGGGCACUUGCCCGGCGCUGGGGGAAGCAGAAAGGUUUCGAGUGGUAUGGAAAUUCGGAUUCGGCACAAAGGUUCUGGCCAGUUUCCCAGAUGACCCCCAGUGAUCCAUUCCAGUCCUGGUAUUAGUGGCCAUGUCUGCUCUUCCACUGAACCAGCUGGCCAGUGUGACCAGUGGAAUAUGGUGAAAGUGAUGCUGUGGACCCGAGCCUGGGUCAUAAAGGGCAGUGGCCAUGUGCAUGAGCCACAUCAAAGGGCCUUUGCCACUCCCUCAAAGGACCGAAGCCCCAGGCAAUAUCUGACCACAACCUCGGGAGAGACCCCAGACCAGAGCCACCCAACCAACCUCAAGAGAAACCUCAAACAAGAACCACCCACCAAUCUCAGGACACACUCCAAACCAGAACCAUGCACCCAACCUCAAGAGAGAUCCCAGGCCAAAACCACCCGCUCACCCACCCACGCUGCUCCCAAAUUCUGGACAGACAUCAAGAGCCAUGUGCGAUCACUGUUAUUUUAAGCCACCAGGGUUAAAGGGUGAGUAGUUGUAUUACAUCGGAUAACUACUGUCACCUCUUCUUUCCCUAAAUGCAGCCAAAGGUGGCUGCAGUUC